GAUGAACGCUGGCGGCGUGCCUAAUACAUGCAAGUCGAGCGAACAGACGAGGAGCUUGCUCCUUCGACGUUAGCGGCGGACGGGUGAGUACACGUAGGUAACCUACCUAUAAGACUGGGAUAACUUCGGGAAACCGGAGCUAAUACCGGAUAAUAUUUCGCACCGCCUGGUUCGAUAGUGAAAGAUGGCUUUGCUAUCACUUAUAGAUGGACCUGCGCCGUAUUAGCUAGUUGGUAAGGUAACGGCUUACCAAGGCAACGAUACGUAGCCGACCUGAGAGGGUGAUCGGCCACACUGGAACUGAGACACGGUCCAGACUCCUACGGGAGGCAGCAGUAGGGAAUCUUCCGCAAAGGGCGAAAGCCUGACGGAGCAACGCCGCGUAAGUGAUGAAGGUCUUCGGAUCGUAAAACUCUGUUAUUAGGGAAGAACAAACGUGUAAGUAACUGUGCACGUCUUGACGGUACCUAAUCAGAAAGCCACGGCUAACUACGUG
rnacentral:rRNA from 1 species